CCUCUCCCUCGCCAGAAGAUGAAGGGAGAGAGAGGAGAGAGGGUAGGGAUCCAUCUCCGGCCUCUACCCUCACAGU